rnacentral:rRNA from 1 species
AACUUGGCAGAGAUGCCUUGGUGCCUUCGGGAACGCUGAGACAGGUGCUGCAUGGCUGUCGUCAGCUCGUGUUGUGAAAUNUUGGGUUAAGUCCCGCAACGAGCGCAACCCUUUAUCCUUUGUUGCCAGCGAUUCGGUCGGGAACUCAAAGGAGACUGCCGGUGAUAACCGGAGGAAGGUGGGGAUGACGUCAAGUCAUCAUGGCCCUUACGAGUAGGGCUACACACGUGCUACAAUGGCGCAUACAAAGAGAAGCGACCUCGCGAGAGCAAGCGGACCUCAUAAAGUGCGUCGUAGUCCGGAUCGGAGUCUGCAACUCGACUCCGUGAAGUCGGAAUCGCUAGUAAUCGUGGAUCAGAAUGCCACGGUGAAUACGUUCCCGGGCCUUGUACACACCGCCCGUCACACCAUGGGAGUGGGUUGCAAAAGAAGUAGGUAGCUUAACCUCGGGAGGGCGCUUACCACUUUGUGAUUCAUGACUGGGGUGAAGUCGUAACAAGGUAAGCGUAGCGAG